AACGCGAAGAACCUUACCAAGGUUUGACAUGCAGGGAAAAGCCGCAGAGAUGUGGUGUCCGUAAGGGUCCUGCACAGGUGGUGCAUGGCUGUCGUCAGCUCGUGUCGUGAGAUGUUGGGUUAAGUCCCGCAACGAGCGCAACCCUCGUUCUAUGUUGCCAGCACAUAAUGGUGGGGACUCAUAGGAGACUGCCGGGGUCAACUCGGAGGAAGGUGGGGAUGACGUCAAGUCAUCAUGCCCCUUAUAUCCAGGGCUGCACGCAUGCUACAAUGCCCGGUACAAAGGGAAGCAAGAGCGUAAGCUGGAGCAAAUCCCCCAAAACCGGGCCCAGUUCAGAUUGUCGUCUGCAACUCGACGGCAUGAAGCUGGAAUCGCCAGUAAUGGCGCAUCAGCUACGGCGCCGUGAAUACGUUCCCGGGUCUUGUACACACCGA
rnacentral:rRNA from 1 species